CCUACGGGUGGCAGCAGUGGGGAAUAUUGGACAAUGGGCGAAAGCCUGAUCCAGCCAUGCCGCGUGUGUGAAGAAGGCCUUCGGGUUGUAAAGCACUUUCAGUGGGGAAGAAAGCCUUGGGGCUAAUACCCUCGAGGAAGGACAUCACCCACAGAAGAAGCACCGGCUAACUCCGUGCCAGCAGCCGCGGUAAUACGGAGGGUGCGAGCGUUAAUCGGAAUUACUGGGCGUAAAGCGCGCGUAGGCGGUCUGAUAAGCCGGUUGUGAAAGCCCCGGGCUCAACCUGGGAACGGCAUCCGGAACUGUCAGGCUAGAGUGCAGGAGAGGAAGGUAGAAUUCCCGGUGUAGCGGUGAAAUGCGUAGAGAUCGGGAGGAAUACCAGUGGCGAAGGCGGACUUCUGGACUGAUACUGACGCUGAGGUGCGAAAGCGUGGGUAGCAAACAGGAUUAGAUACCCGAGUAGUC
rnacentral:rRNA from 1 species